rnacentral:rRNA from 1 species
UACAGAGGGUGCGAGCGUUGUUCGGAAUUAUUGGGCGUAAAGGGCGCGUAGGCGGCGCCACAAGUCACCUGUGAAAACUCUGGGCUCAACCCAGAGCCUGCAGGCGAAACUGUGGUGCUGGAGUAUGGGGAGAGGUGCGUGGAAUUCCCGGUGUAGCGGUGAAGUGCGUAGAUAUCGGGAGGAACACCUGUGGCGAAAGGCGGCGCACUGGACCAUAACUGACGCUGGAGGCGCGAAAGCUAGGGGAGCAAACAGG